UUUUAUGAAUAUGUCUCUAGAAAGGUAAAAAAGAGAGAUUCAAAGGGCCUCUAGACAUUGCAUGUGCAUGAAAGAUCAAAGGAUGAAAAAAGUCCCACUUGGCCUUAAAUGAUCAAGCUGAAAGAAGGUAUUAGUGCAUGACUGAAAAAUGAGUCUGAAACAAUAGGCAAACUGCAUCAGCAAAAAGCAAACCUGCAUCUUGUGGAUUACUUUGUAAAUUUAAGGACACAGACUACUAAUGAGAAGUGUACUACUUUAUUA